AGUGUGUCUUUCGCCGGUCAAUAGCGCUGCAUCGAUGAGGAGGUGCUUGAGCAGCCGCUCAGUGAAGCCCUGCCGAAAGAUAUGUUUUAUAACGGAGAAGCAGGAAAUCCUAACCGAUGCGCAGUUUACUACGUCUGCUCAAAUCCCUCCCUUAGUAUAGUUGGCAAGUUAAAUUCUCCAAGCCAAUCAACGCAUACAUAGAGUGACUAUAUGUAGCAAUACAUCGCUAGUGACUCUAUAUAGAGCAUUCGAGUGACGGAGCAUGCAAAUGAGUGUGUCUUUCGCAGGUCGAUACCGCUGCAUUGAUGAGGAGGUGCUUGAGGAGCCGCUCAGUGAAGCCCUGCCCAAAGGUAUGUUUUACAACCGAGAAGCAGGAAAUCCUAACCGAUGCGCAGUUUACUGCGUCUGCUCAAUUCCCUCCCUUAGUAUAGUUGGCAAGUUAAAUUCUCCAAGCCAAUCAACGCAUACAUAGAGUGACUAUAUGUAGCAAUACAUCGCUAGUGACUCUAUAUAGAGCAUUCGAGUGACGGAGCAUGCAAAUGAGUGUGUCUUUCGCAGGUCGAUACCGCUGCAUUGAUGAGGAGGUGCUUGAGGAGCCGCUCAGUGAAGCCCUGCCCAAAGGUAUGUUUUACAACCGAGAAGCAGGAAAUCCUAACCGAUGCGCAGUUUACUGCGUCUGCUCAAUUCCCUCCCUUAGUAUAGUUGGCAAGUUAAAUUCUCCAAGCCAAUCAACGCAUACAUAGAGUGACUAUAUGUAGCAAUACAUCGCUAGUGACUCUAUAUAGAGCAUUCGAGUGACGGAGCAUGCAAAUAAGUGUGUCUUUCGCCGGUCGAUACCGCUGCAUUGAUGAGGAGGUGCUUGAGGAGCCGCUCAGUGAAGCCCUGCCCAAAGAUAUGUUUUAC